UUUUUUUUUUUUUAUUUCAGUCUGACACUCUUCCUUUUCUUUGGAACUUUUAGUCUAUGUAAACUUAAUGCCAAAAGAAUCAUUUGGAAGAAACUGGGAAAUAUGCAUAAGCAAGGACAGGAAAGGUAAGACAGGCAUAUCAUGAGACGAGAGUUUGUAGAACUGAAUUUCUGGGGUAGAAUGAACAUUUUGGAGUGUGGAAACAUACAUGAAGAUGUCUGGUUCCUUCUAUCCUGACAGGCACAUAGCAGACAAUAAGCGAAUAUCUGUACAAAAAACAGUUGCUAAUUGAAAUGAGAAUGAACGUAUGAACAAAGAGAAUGUUGAAUAGAUUUGAUAGAGGUUAAAAAAGUGAGUCAAAUAAAUUUGAUUCAAUGUGAGAAGGAGUUUCGCAGAUUGUUGAGCAUGAGAAAUGUUUCUGGAUAAUAGUAAUUUAAUUGGAAAACCCAGUUCCUGCAACACCUGGGAUGCUCUUUCUCUUAAUGUUCACACGCCUCUGCAAUAAGUAGCUCUAACCACACAGGCACACUUCUCCAAAUACUGCUUUCUUCUUCUAAUUUAUUUGGAGAAAAGGACACAGACCGAUUGCCAGGCGCCAGGCUUUUCUGCACUUUGCUGGCACCACUCUGAAUUCUAAGCUCUUCUCACUUUACAGCAAUUUGAGAUCUAUGGUGAUUUCUGCACAUCACCACCAACUCGACAUUACCAUAUAUAAUUGCCUGGUCUGGAAGAAUUUGGGGAAAACAAUAGAAUUAUAAAACAGGCAAGAAGGAAUAUCAGAAUUAAUGCCAGAUAUGCAUUGUAUGGAAAUUCAUGAGCUAUUGCUCACCACACAAAAUUUUCUAUGGCAGUUCCUUUCUUUAGGCCCUGUUUUAGAGCGUCUCCCAGAGACUUUUCAUAUCUCUUUCUGUCCUAGAUCCCUCACCCUCCUUCGCUCCCUUGGUUUACUGAAACUGGCAUGAUUGCUCUUUCUAUUAUGCAGAGCAAAGACUUGCUCUCUUUGCUUCACCCUUUUCUAUUUGUGAUAUACAGUUUCAUUAUUGAAACAAUAGUUCCAUCAUCUCAGAAUUUGAAUUCCCUCACUCUUCUAGAGGGCAGAUAUCACUACACUUGGUUUGCUUUUGCAGCAUUCUUUUAAAAAUGCCUCCUUAUGAUAUAGUAAAAGACUUUUUGCAAACUUACUGUAACGUGAUGUGCAAGAUACUUUGAAAGGGUGAUGGGCUUUAUAAAGAACAUAGAUUUAUGGUUUAAACUACAAUUCCUUCAUGGUAUGAUGGGAAGAAUUCAGCCAUCUUACUCAUUAAAUGGGAUAAUGGGCUUGUUAGGAGGACUUAAAGGAGAGAUAGAGUCUGAUACAUAGUGACUCUAGGCAAGUGGUAGCUCUGUUUUUUUUUUUUAGGAUCAGGGAGCUGGUAAACUAUUACAGUCAUUCAGGUGUGAAUAACUAGACCUCCUACCAGGGGGAGAGCAGAGUGAUAGAAGUGAAAAGAAUAAGUGAUGAUGCAGUUUUGGGGGAGAAAUAGCAGAAGUCUGUGGGGGAGAGGGAAUAAAAAAAAGGAGAGAGUGUUAUAUCAAGGGAGAAUGGGAGUCUCACUCACAGGGCAGUACAUGUUCCCAUAUAGACUCUAUUUCAUCUUUGAAUUAAGAAAAGGAAGAGAUUGGUGUAUCUGUUAGGCAUGGUUGUGGAGGGAGAAUGAUUUGGGUAGUGCAGAAAGACUAUGGAAAAAUACAGCAAGUGGACUAGAGAAAUGAAAGCACUUUAAAAGCAAAUGUGCACCAUCACAGGCGUAGUGAUUGGUGAGGUGAGUGGAGAGGGAUAGUGAGGCUGUAAAUCCUCCUGGAGUGACGGAUUCAUAUUCUGAGUUACAAGAUGAUCGGCAGGGCAAAUCGGCCAAUACUUUCCCAUGUUGACCUGCUCAGUCUCCCGAACUUAUUACUGGUCCAUUUUUUUUUUUUUAAGUUUUUAUGUAAUGAUUUUUGUUAUUUUCAUUAGAGCUGGUUUACAGUGUUCUGUCAAUUUCCUACUGUACAGCAGGGUGACCCAGUUACACAUGCAUGUACACAUUCAUUUUUCUCACAUUAUAAUGCUCCAUCAUAAGUGACCAGACAUAGUUCCCAGAGCUACACGGCAGAAUCUUAUUACUUAACCAUUCCAAAGGCAAUAGUCUGCAUCUAUUAACCCCAAGUUCCCAAUCUAUCCCACUUCCUUCCCCUCAGCAACCACAAGUCUUUUCUCCAAGUCCAUGAUUUUCUUUUCUGUGGAGUGGUCCAUUGUAAAUAUCUCUCAGAUUGAGUUUUUCCUGCACAUUUCUUUGUUUAGAAGGUUCAUUGUCAUCAUCAAACUGCGUGAGUUAUGAAAAAGUCUCUUAAUCAUUCUCUCCUAACUCCCAGUAGGAAUCGCUCCCUUUCACAGUCUUUGCUGUGUACUGUGUUGAUCCCUCAUCAUAAAGCUCUGUUAUCAUCCUGUCAUUUGUUAUGAUGAGUCACACCCAGGACUUGGGUGGCAACAGUGAACCAGGGCCAGGAAGCCAAGGAAGACCAUGAUAAUAUCUUGAAACAAUGAACAUGGUAUGGGUGCCUCAAAGGUGUUUGCUACAUGUAGGUGUAGGGCUGAGGAUUUCUUACAUGCUCUUGACUUUUAAACAUCCUGCUCACCAAUGAUGACUUGAAAAUUGCCAUUUGGUUUGGUUUCUAUUCAUCUUACAUAAAAGGGCUAAUUUAAGAAAUGUGAACAGACUUGUGGUUGCCAAGGGAGAGGGGGAGGGAUGGGGAGAGAUGGGGAGAGAUUGGGAGUUUGGGGUUCAUAGAUGCAAGCUAUUGCUUUUGGAAUGGAUUAGCAAUGAGAUCCUGCUGUGUAGCACUGAGAACUCUGUCUAAAUACUUACAACACAGCAUGACAAUACAUGCGAGCUCUUGCCUCUGAAAUGGAUAAGUGAGAUCCUGCUGUAUAGCACUGGGAACUAUAUCUAGUCACUUAUGAUGGAGCAUGAUAAUGUGAGAAAAAGAAUGUAUAUAUGUAUGGGGUAACUGGGUCUCCUUUCUAUACAGUAGAAAAUUGACAGAAGACGGUAAACCAGCUAUAAUGGAAAAAAUAAAUAUCACUAUAAAAUAAAAAAAGAAAUGUGGAGGACAAAAAAGCACAGAAUAGAAAUAAGGACAGAAUAUUAAUAUUGUACUAGUAAAAUAUCACUGCGUCUAAAAUAAAAUAAGAACACAAAGGUUUUAAGUUGCUUAGGAUCAAAUCAGGAAAAAUUUUUCUGUCAAUUAUAUUUGGAAAAACCUCUAAAUAGGUGAGAAGAAUUUGAAGAUUGUUUUAUAUAUAAGUGCCUAUGUUCACAAUCUAUUUAGAAAAAUACCAAACAAUAAUUAGAACAGUAUGCAUAGCUGUCUAAAGCCAGGUUUGUCUCCCUCUCUCUCAAAGUGCUAAGUAUUUUCAGUAUUCAUUCAUGGAGGAGAGUUAUGUGUUUUGUGAAAAUAAUACAUGACUACAGUGGCCCUGAAUUUAAGUUAAAUUUUUUUUGCAUCUUCCUUUGACAAAUGAUUAAAAUUAAAAUAUUUUAUAUAUUUUAUAAAUGAUUUAUAGCUAAUAUUUCCCUUGAGAAUGUAUUCUUGCAAUGAAAUGAUGACUGGCUUGGAAAUUAGUUCAAGGCACCUUCACUGAUCUUGCUGAGUACCAUUUCAUUCCUCAUCUAUAAAUUAAAUCAGCUAAAAUAUUUAGAGGUAAAUUACUAUUAAAUUGUGGUUCAUUAGCUACUGAAUCACGAACAGUUCACUAUAUGGCUUCCAAAUAGUUGCUAUCUUGUAAUACUAUUUGUUCUCCAAAGAACUAGAGCUGACUCAGCUUGGAGGUGUUCACAAAUGAUCUUUUAAAUCAGCUACUCCUCUGUAAUUUUUAUUCCUCUAUAUUAGAAAGCUUGCAACAUACUGCCAAAAUUUCACUAAUGAUGCUCGAGAGAUAAUGAGUUGUAUGGGUUUCUAGAUAAUUAUAUAAAUGACCUUUAGUCUGACGUUCCACUGUGUAUUCCACACUCAUAUCCCACAAUUGCAUAGAGAUAUAUUUUUUUUUAAUUUUGCCAUCUCACAACUUAAUGGCAUACUAAAUUUUCAUCAACAUGUAAGCAGACUCUCUUUUAUGCUGUAUAUCACAUGGGUAUUAUAGGAAAAAGUAAAAUUAUCUUGCAAGUAGCAUAUCGUAAUGUUCUGAAAAAAUUAGAGCCUGUUAAUUAAAACAGACUACCUCAAAGCAGAUAUAUCUUUUUCCCUUUUCAAUUCAUUUCAUAGCUUCUAUUUUUCUAAUUUCUGGUUUAUUUCCUUUAUAGCACUUACUAUUCUCUGACAGUAUCUUGUCUGUUCAUUGCCUUUUUGUCUGGCUUUCUCACUGGAAUGUAGCAUUUGUGAGCAAAGAGAACUUCUAUCUUGUUUCAUGCUCUAUCAGCAUUGUGUAGAACAAUGCUUGUCACAUCAUAGACUUUUAGGAAAUUGUUAUUGGACAUCUUCUGGCCACACCUGUGGCAUAUGGAGGUUCCCAGAUUAGGAGUCAGAUUCAGAGCUGUAGCUACUGUCCUCUGCC
rnacentral:lncRNA from 1 species